GGGGGUGCCAGGUCUCGACGUUGCAUCGUCGAACCAGGGGAAGCGAGUCGAGAACGCAGGGUCAUCUCGUACAAAGUUCCUUGCAGACCAAUAGCUGCCGAUAACACGCGCAGCGACCUCACCCUCGCCGCCUGAGCGAGGCUUGAGGUCCGUCGGCCCGGGAGUGCUCCCGGCCCGGUCGCCGGCGUCGACUAGGGAGCCACUGCUGUCAGCCCUCGUCAUCGGGGUUGGCGGGACUUCCAGGUGACUGAGCCCGGCAGCGGCGCGCCUGCGCGACCGCUGGGGCUGAGAAAUCCCGUAGCAGGCUGCACUCGGAGAAGCCCUGGGGGUACGACGACGGACGCGGGUUCGAUUCCCGCCACCUCCACAC
rnacentral:tmRNA from 1 species